rnacentral:rRNA from 1 species
UCCAGCGCUGAAUCGUGGUGCUUCUGGCACUAUGAGGUGUAGCGUACAGACGGCAAUCUUGGGUCGGCCCGUUCGUUCAAGUUUCCCUUGAUCGGGGUCCCAAAGAAGGUGCAAGGCCUGUCCAACGGAUGGUCGCCAAUCCAUCUUUGCAUGUCUUGGAGUCGGGUUGUUUGGGAUCGCAGCCCAAAGCAGGUGGUAAACUUCAUCUAAGACUGAAUAUGACCACGAGUCCGAUAGCGAACAAGUACCGUGAGGGAAAGUUGCAAAGCACUUUGAAGAGAGAGUUAAACAGGACGUGAAACCGAUGAGGUGGAAACGGACAGAGCCAGCGUAUCUGGCCUGUAUUCAGCCAAAGACCCUCAGGUGUCAGGUAGUUCUUUUCCAGAUUGGACAGGCUAGUUGACUACUUGGAGGCCAGAGGUGCAUUUGCAGGUGGAGUGCGCCGAGGCGGUCAGGGUAGCGGUGCGAACUUGAUUUUGAGGCCAGCCCUUCGGGGUCUGGAACCCAGGUUGGGGGAGUGCUGUUUGUCCUGGCUGACACRUGGGAAUGGUUUCGUGUUCGUCUGGCAUUGGGCUGGCAAUCGGUGGCGGUCGCAUGCGACACGUGCUGGUGGUUGGUCUGAUGUUGGUCAAGCACCCGUUUCCCAGUCCUCGGUGUAAAAGCCGGUUAUCUGUCCGACCCGUCUUGAAACACGGACCAAGGAGUUUAGCGUGUGCGCGAGUCAUUGAGUGUUGAAAAUUCAAAGGCGCAAUGAAAGUGAAGGUCUCCCUUGUGGAGCUGAUGUGUGAUCCGGACCAUCAAGGUGGCACGGAGCAACACAGUCCCGUCCCGAUCGCUUGCGGUAGGGCGGAGAUUGAGCGUACGCGCUGAGACCCGAAAGAUGGUGAACUAUUCCUGAGCAGGACGAAGCCAGAGGAAACUCUGGUGGAAGUCCGAAGCGAUUCUGACGUGCAAAUCGAUCGUCUGACUUGGG